UUUUAUGGUUAAGUUAGAAAGGGCGCACGGUGGAUGCCUUGGCACUAGGAGCCGAUGAAGGACGGUACAAACACCGAUAUGCUCCGGGGAGCUGUACGUAAGCUUUGAUCCGGAGAUUUCCGAAUGGGGAAACCCCCUGUCUUUAAUCGGACAGGAUUCCUGCCUGAAUCCAUAGGGCAGGAAGGGCACACCCGGGGAACUGAAACAUCUCAGUACCCGGAGGAAGAGAAAGCAAUUGCGAUUUCCCAAGUAGCGGCGAGCGAACAGGAAACAGCCCAAACCGGAAGGCUUGCCUUCCGGGGUUGUAGGACACUCAUAUGGGAGUUACAAAAGAACGGGGUAAGUGAAGCGGCCUGGAAAGGCCUGCCGGAGAAGGUAAAAGCCCUGUAACUGACACUUCGUUCUCUCCCGAGUGGAUCCUGAGUACGGCGGGACACGAGGAAUCCCGCCGGAAUCCGGGAGGACCAUCUCCCAAGGCUAAAUACUCCCUAGUGACCGAUAGUGAACCAGUACCGUGAGGGAAAGGUGAAAAGCACCCCGGGAGGGGAGUGAAAGAGAUCCUGAAACCGUGUGCCUACAAGUAGUCAGAGCCCGUUAACGGGUGAUGGCGUGCCUUUUGUAGAAUGAACCGGCGAGUUACGGUCUCAUGCAAGGUUAAGCUGAAGAAGCGGAGCCGCAGCGAAAGCGAGUCUGAACAGGGCGAAAGAGUAUGAGGCCGCAGACCCGAAACCAGGUGAUCUACCCAUGUCCAGGGUGAAGGCAAGGUAACACUUGCUGGAGGCCCGAACCCACGCACGUUGAAAAGUGCGGGGAUGAGGUGUGGGUAGCGGAGAAAUUCCAAUCGAACUUGGAGAUAGCNUUGCUGGAGGCCCGAACCCACGCACGUUGAAAAGUGCGGGGAUGAGGUGUGGGUAGCGGAGAAAUUCCAAUCGAACUUGGAGAUAGCUGGUUCUCUCCGAAAUAGCUUUAGGGCUAGCCUCAAGCGAAGAGUUUUGGAGGUAGAGCACUGUUUGGACGAGGGGCCCUCAUCGGGUUACCGAAUUCAGACAAACUCCGAAUGCCAAAAACUUAUGCUUGGGAGUCAGACUGUGAGUGAUAAGAUCCAUGGUCGAAAGGGAAACAGCCCAGACCGCCAGCUAAGGUCCCAAAGUAUACGUUAAGUGGAAAAGGAUGUGGCGUUGCUUAGACAACCAGGAUGUUGGCUUAGAAGCAGCCAUCAUUCAAAGAGUGCGUAAUAGCUCACUGGUCGAGUGACGCUGCGCCGAAAAUGUACCGGGGCUAAACGUAUCACCGAAGCUGCGGAUGGACACCGUAUGGUGUCCGUGGUAGGAGAGCGUUCUAAGGGCGUUGAAGCCGGACCGGAAGGACCGGUGGAGCGCUUAGAAGUGAGAAUGCCGGUAUGAGUAGCGAAAGANAGGAGAGCGUUCUAAGGGCGUUGAAGCCGGACCGGAAGGACCGGUGGAGCGCUUAGAAGUGAGAAUGCCGGUAUGAGUAGCGAAAGAAGGGUGAGAAUCCCUUCCACCGAAUGCCUAAGGUUUCCUGAGGAAGGCUCGUCCGCUCAGGGUUAGUCGGGGCCUAAGCCGAGGCCGAAAGGCGUAGGCGAUGGACAACAGGUUGAUAUUCCUGUACCGCCUCUUCACCGUUUGAACGAUGGGGGGACGCAGGAGGAUAGGGCAAGCGCGACACUGGUUGAUCGCGUCCAAGCAGUUAGGCCGGUGCGGAGGCAAAUCCUUCGCGCCAAGGCGGAGCUGUGAUGGCGAGGGAAAUUUUAGUACCGAAGUUCCUGAUUCCACACUGCCAAGAAAAGCCUCUAGUGAGGUGAAAGGCGCCCGUACCGCAAACCGACACAGGUAGGCGAGGAGAGAAUCCUAAGGUGAGCGAGAGAACUCUCGUUAAGGAACUCGGCAAAAUGACCCCGUAACUUCGGGAGAAGGGGUGCUUUUUGGGGUGUAUGCCCCGGGAAGCCGCAGUGAAUAGGCCCAGGCGACUGUUUAGCAAAAACACAGGUCUCUGCGAAGCCGCAAGGCGAAGUAUAGGGGCUGACACCUGCCCGGUGCUGGAAGGUUAAGGAGAGGGGUUAGCCGUAAGGCGAAGCUCUGAACUGAAGCCCCAGUAAACGGCGGCCGUAACUAUAACGGUCCUAAGGUAGCGAAAUUCCUUGUCAGGUAAGUUCUGACCCGCACGAAAGGUGUAACGAUCUGGGCACUGUCUCAACGAGAGACUCGGUGAAAUUAUAGUACCUGUGAAGAUGCNGUAAGUUCUGACCCGCACGAAAGGUGUAACGAUCUGGGCACUGUCUCAACGAGAGACUCGGUGAAAUUAUAGUACCUGUGAAGAUGCAGGUUACCCGCGACAGGACGGAAAGACCCCAUGGAGCUUUACUGCAGCCUGAUAUUGAAUUUUGGUACAGCUUGUACAGGAUAGGUAGGAGCCUUGGAAACCGGAGCGCCAGCUUCGGCGGAGGCAUCGGUGGGAUACUACCCUGGCUGUAUUGAAAUUCUAACCCGCACCCCUUACCGGGGUGGGAGACAGUGUCAGGCAGGCAGUUUGACUGGGGCGGUCGCCUCCUAAAAGGUAACGGAGGCGCCCAAAGGUUCCCUCAGAAUGGUUGGAAAUCAUUCGCAGAGUGUAAAGGCAUAAGGGAGCUUGACUGCGAGACUUACAAGUCGGGCAGGGACGAAAGUCGGGCUUAGUGAUCCGGUGGUUCCGCAUGGAAGGGCCAUCGCUCAACGGAUAAAAGCUACCCUGGGGAUAACAGGCUGAUCUCCCCCAAGAGUCCACAUCGACGGGGAGGUUUGGCACCUCGAUGUCGGCUCAUCGCAUCCUGGGGCUGUAGUCGGUCCCAAGGGUUGGGCUGUUCGCCCAUUAAAGCGGUACGCGAGCUGGGUUCAGAACGUCGUGAGACAGUUCGGUCCCUAUCCGUCGCGGGCGCAGGAAAUUUGAGAGGAGCUGUCCUUAGUACGAGAGGACCGGGAUGGACGCACCGCUGGUGUACCAGUUGUCUUGCCAAAGGCAUCGCUGGGUAGCUAUGUGCGGAAGGGAUAAGUGCUGAAAGCAUCUAAGCAUGAAGCCCCCCUCAAGAUGAGAUUUCCCACAGUUUAUACUGGUAAGAUCCCUGAAAGAUGAUCAGGUUGAUAGGUCCGGGGUGGAAGCGCGGCGACGCGUGGAGCUGACGGAUACUAAUCGAUCGAGGACUUAACCAAA
rnacentral:rRNA from 2 species